CCGCCUCCUGGGUUCAAGCGAUUCUCGUGCCUCAGCCUUACGAGUAGCUGGGAUUACAGGCACGCCCCACCACGCCCGGCUAAUUUUUUGUAUUUUUAGUAGAGACGGGGUUUCACCAUGUUGGCCAGGAUAGUCUCGAUCUCCUGACCUGGUGAUCCAUCCGCCUCUGCCUCCCAAAGUGCUGGGAUUACAGGCGUGAACCACCGCACCCGGCCCCAAAUGCCUUUUAUAAGCAAGUGGUGCAUUCCUGGAUGUUGAGCGCUUGCGCCCGGUUCAGGACCGGGUCCAAAUGAGGUUGGCGUGCGCCGUGCGGGUCACCUCCCCCAAAAAGACCCUGUGCCAACCUCCCCAACCCUACCCGCCCCCCAUGGGCGAGGCCAGACGUGGCGCAAGACCACGGGCUCUGAGGCCAUGGGUGUUGUCACUUUCCCCUGGCGGUGGUGCCUGGCUCUGCAUUUGCUUAAGACUUUUCCAUCCCUGCCUGGACCAGACAGACAUGUUUAGAUUUAAGCAAUGAACAUUCCGGGAGGAUAUUUUCCUGGCAGGAUACCGCGAUGGCAGGAUGUUUGAUACCGAAUCGAAGCACGGCGUCAAAGCAGCGUCCUGCGCGGGGGAGCCGGAUGUAAUAAGCGACCCCAGCUGCCGGUGCCCAAUGACUGGAACAUCCAAGCCCUCGGCCUCCUACCAGCAUGGAUUGGAAGUCAAUACCUUAAACAUUUGCAGCUGUGAAACUACUCUUACAGACCCAUAUAGUUCUCCACCUUAAUGAACUUAAAACAUAGGUUUAAUAAAGUGAAACCAGUCUCCAGUAGAGAGAGUGAAUGAUUGUGUUAGCACAAGGCAACAACACUGGUUAGUGCCAGAGAUCAAAUCAAGGCACAAGAUGAACAUUUCAUGACAUUUUCCAAGUGUAAUUCUCUAAGAAGGCAUUUUGUGAUGGAUAAUGUCAAACGUCAGUCAAUUCAUGUCUCAGUCCUUCUGAUUCCCCUGGCACAAACUUGAAGUAGAAACAGGCUGUCUUUUCCUGCUACAUUAGCACCCCCAGGCCCAGAAUGAAUGGAAUUUGUCCGUCUCUCCCAGGACAGGGAUCUGUUAAGGGAGAGGCAAAGAAGGUAAAACAGGAUCCUCGCUACUAAGAUUUUAUAAUGGAGAAAAUUCAGAGCAAUCGUGUCCAGAACCCAUUUCUCUAAUUAUAGUGUUACAACAGAGAAAGACAAAUGUUAAUGAUAAAUGAAGGCAGUGCACAUCAAAUAUGUG
rnacentral:lncRNA from 1 species